rnacentral:rRNA from 1 species
CAGUCGCCGCGGUAAUACGAGGGGGGCAAGCGUUGUUCGGAAUUAUUGGGCGUAAAGGGUGCGUAGGCGGCUUGACAAGUCUUGCGUGAAAUCUAUGGGCUCAACCCAUAGUCUGCACGGGAAACUGUCGGGCUUGAGAAUGGGAGAGGUGAGUGGAAUUUCCGGUGUAGCGGUGAAAUGCGUAGAUAUCGGAAGGAACACCUGUGGCGAAGGCGGCUCACUGGACGACUGUUGACGCUGAGGUACGAAAGCGUGGGGAGCAAACAGGAUUAGAUACCCCGGUAGUCCCUGUCUCUUAUAC